UACGAGGCUGAGCAUCUGAAGGCCUCCUCACGUUCUGAGCAGACCAAUCACAAACCCUCCCCAGACCAGAUCAUCCCUCCUCUCCUGGACCUGAACCAGAACCGCAGUAAGCUGAAGAUGUAUAUUGGUCACCUGAGAGACCUGUGUCAAGAGAGAGACCCCCAGAUCCUGCAGGACCUGACACCUCCCUCCUCCUACCACAGCUCUCAACACACCGCCUGGGAGACACAGCUUCACAACAUGACCCCAGAGCAGGUAGGACUCUGACCUCUAACCCCUGACCCCUAACCCUUCCUCCUACCACAGCUCUCAACACACCGCCUGGGAGACACAGCUUCACAACAUGACCCCAGAGCAGUUGGAGUCGGAGCUGGCGGUGUGUGAGAGGGAGAGUGCAGAACUCCAGGAGCAUGCUAACUGUGUCCUGCAGCAGAUCGCUGACCACUGCCCCGACAUCCUGGAGCAGGUGGUCAACGCCCUGGAAGAGUCCUGCUGACCUGUCAAAGUCCCCGCCAACCACACUCUCACAACACGUCAAGAGAGAGAGAGAGAUGCCUUUAUAUUUGCGCCUUCAUUUCCUGCCUUACCAGUUCUCCCAAUAUCUCUUUGGGGAUUUGUUACUGAUUUAUUAACAAUGAUUUGUCAGAUUGGUGCAACAAAUGUUUGUGGUGAGAAGGCCUUCUUGGACCGUUCAUGACGUUGAACCCUGUCUUUUUCUGAGACCUGACCACAAAACCUGUCCGUUACUAAGGUGUGGUCAACCAUGUUAUAUUAGUGUUACUCACAUACAGUUACUGCUUAGUUACUACACGGUUACUGCUUAUUUACUGCUUAGUUACCACACAGUUACUGCUUAGUUACCAUACAGAUACUGCUUAGUUACUACACAGUUACUGCUUAGUUACUACACAGUUACUGCUUAGUUACUACACAGUUACUGCUUAGUUACUACACAGUUACUGCU